UCAUAGUAUUUCUCUUUAUUCAUCAUGUCGUAAGGGAAAAUAAUGAUAUUACCUUACUAUAAGUGUCGUCCAAACCUGGUGCCAGAAGACUCGGUAAGACCAGAGACGCAAACGUUAAUCAUCUUAAACAGGCGUAAAGGGUUUGUAGGCAGCUUUCAUAAUAUUAUUUCUUACAAAAAUAAAGAAGUGGUCUGAUUGAAAGCUAGAAUCAAAAAGAGGUUAUAGUGUAUAACGCCUAGAGGAGGGCUGAUAUCCUUAGAUCCUAGGCAGAAUACUUAGGGCGAAGGCCACUCUCCACUAAUGAUUGACGCUGAGAAACGAAGGUAAGGGUAGGAAAUAGGAUUAGAUACCCCGGUACUCCUUUCUGUAAACGAUGAAUGGUAGUCAUUAGUAAAAUUAACUAGAGACGAAGUUAACACAAUAACCAUUCCGCCUUGUGAGUACUACUGCAAAGUAGAAAACAAAAAAAUUAGUCGGUCUCGAAGCAAACGGAGUGAAGCAUGUUAUUUA
rnacentral:rRNA from 1 species